rnacentral:rRNA from 1 species
UACGUAGGGGGCGAGCGUUGUCCGGAUUUACUGGGCGUAAAGCGCGUGUAGGCGGCGGCUUAAGUCGGGUGUGAAAGCCCGGGCUCAACCCCGGGAUGCCGCUCGAGACUGGGUCGCUUGAGGACGGAAGAGGGGCGUGGAAGUUCCUGGUGUAGCGGUGAAAUGCGUAGAGAUCAGGAGGAACACCCGUGGCGAAGGCGGCGCCCUGGUCCGUUACUGACGCUGAGACG